CGUCCCGUAACGAGCGCCAACCCUUGUCCUUAGUUACCAGCACGUUAUGGUGGGCACUCUAAGGAGACUGCCGGUGACAACCGGAGGAAGGUGGGAUGACGUCAAGUCAUCAUGGCCCUUACGGCCUGGGCUACACACGUGCUACAAUGGUCGGUACAAAGGGUUGCCAAGCCGCGAGGUGGAGCUAAUCCCAUAAAACCGAUCGUAGUCCGGAUCGCAGUCUGCAACUCGACUGCGUGAAGUCGGAAUCGCUAGUAAUCGUGAAUCAGAAUGUCACGGUGAAUACGUUCCCGGACCUU
rnacentral:rRNA from 1 species